rnacentral:lncRNA from 1 species
AUCUCAAUAUUCUUCUUGUAGACAAGAAAUUCCUAUUGUUUUCUUUUCUCCCACAGGAAAACUUCUCAUCAGAAGAGAAACAAAUCAAGGUGACGGUAAUGGACAAAUCUUAAUAAAGUUCUAUUUUAGUAGAGUCUCAAGAUCAUCUACCAGUGUGGGUGACAUUGAAAUGAAAGGAUGAGAGACACCAGCUUUCUGUCCCAAGAAGUCAAAUAAACAAAAUGACAAACACACUUGCCUUCUUUUCUUUGGAGAAUGAAUGUUCCAGUCAGCACCAGUCUUGGGAUUUCUACUUGUGCAACGCUGUUACAGAUUUCCAAAAUAGAAGACCAACUCUUGAGUAAUGAACAAUCUACCUUCACAGCAAGAAACUGCUACAGGGAGCUCCUUGGUGAUGGUGUCCUUACAUGUAAAAUUUUCCUGCAUACUAUUAAAGACAAUUAAGUUAAAGAACAUCACCAGUCAGUGUGUAAGAGAUCAACUACUCUGUUACUGUUCUCAUUCCAAGAGAUACAAGAAUGAAAUUGUCAUUAAAAAAUUAAUCUUGGGGCUGGUGAGAUGGCUCAGUGGGUAAGAGCACCCAACUGCUCUUCCGAAGGUCCAGAGUUCAAAUCCCAGCAACCACAUGGUGGCUCACAACCAUCCGUAACAAGAUCUGACUCCCUCUUCUGGUGUGUCUGAAGACAGCUACAGUGUAC